rnacentral:rRNA from 1 species
CCUACGGGUGACAGCAGUGAGGAAUAUUGGUCAAUGGCCGGAAGGCUGAACCAGCCAAGCCGCGUGAAGGAAGAAGGUGCCAAGCAUUGUAAACUUCUUUUGUCAAGGGACAAAAUCAGGCUCGAGAGCCUGACCGAGUGUACUUGAAGAAAAAGCAUCGGCUAACUCCGAGCCAGCAGCCGCGGUAAGACGGAGGAUGCGAGCGGUAUCCGGAUUUAUUGGGGUAAACGGGUGCGUAGGCGGACUGUUAAGUCAGCGGUAAAAGCCCGGGGCUCAACACCGGCGAGCCGUUGAAACUGGCUGUCUUGAGUGGUCGAGAGGUAUGCGGAAUGCGCAGUGUAGCGGUGAAAUGCUUAGAUAUUGCGCAGAACUCCGAUUGCGAAGGCAGCAUACCGGCGGCGAUCUGACGCUGAGGCACGAAAGCGUGGGUAUCGAACAGGAUUAGAUACCCGGGUAGUC